rnacentral:rRNA from 1 species
AGAGUUUGAUCAUGGCUCAGGAUGAACGCUAGCGGCAGGCUUAAUACAUGCAAGUCGAGGGGCAGCACGAAUAGCAAUAUUUGGUGGCGACCGGCAAACGGGUGCGGAACACGUACAGAACCUUCCUUCGAGUGGGGAAUAGCCCGAAGAAAUUCGGAUUAAUACCCCAUAGCAUUAUGAAGUGGCAUCACUUUAUAAUUAAAGAUUUAUUGCUUGAAGAUGGCUGUGCGCCUGAUUAGGUAGUUGGCGGGGUAACGGCCCACCAAGCCUGCGAUCAGUAACUGGUGUGAGAGCACGACCAGUCACACGGGCACUGAGACACGGGCCCGACUCCUACGGGAGGCAGCAGUAAGGAAUAUUGGUCAAUGGACGCAAGUCUGAACCAGCCAUGCCGCGUGGAGGAUGAAGGUCCUCUGGAUUGUAAACUUCUUUUAUUUGGGAAGAAAUGUGAAAAAUCUUUUUCACUUGACGGUACCAGAUGAAUAAGCACCGGCUAACUCCGUGCCAGCAGCCGCGGUAAUACGGAGGGUGCAAGCGUUAUCCGGAUUUACUGGGUUUAAAGGGUGCGCAGGCGGAUAUGUAAGUCAGUGGUGAAAUCUUCCCGCUUAACGGGAAAACUGCCGUUGAUACUAUAUAUCUUGAAUGCUGUGGAGGUAAGCAGAAUAUGUCAUGUAGCGGUGAAAUGCUUAGAUAUGACAUAGAAUGCCUAUUGCGAAGGCAGCUUACUACGCAGAUAUUGACGCUCAUGCACGAAAGCGUGGGGAUCAAACAGGAUUAGAUACCCUAGUAGUCC